UUGACCUCGAAUCAGGUAGGAAUACCCGCUGAACUUAAGCAUAUCAAUAAGCGGAGGAAAAGAAACCAACCGGGAUUACCUCAGUAACGGCGAGUGAAGCGGUAACAGCUCAAAUUUGAAAUCUGGCUCUUGCGGAGUCCGAGUUGUAAUUUGUAGAAGAUGCUUUGGGUUGUGGGUUCGGCCUAAGUUCCUUGGAACAGGACGUCAUAGAGGGUGAGAAUCCCGUAUGUGGCCGAGGCCCGCGCCUAUGUAAAGCUCUUUCAACGAGUCGAGUUGUUUGGGAAUGCAGCUCAAAAUGGGUGGUAAAUUUCAUCUAAAGCUAAAUAUGGGCCAGAGACCGAUAGCGCACAAGUAGAGUGAUCGAAAGAUGAAAAGCACUUUGGAAAGAGAGUUAAACAGUACGUGAAAUUGUUGAAAGGGAAGCGCUUGCAACCAGACUUGGGCGCUGCCGAUCACCUUGAGUUUUCUCGAGUGCACUCGACAGCGCACAGGCCAGCAUCGGUUCGGGUGGCUGGAUAAAGGCCGUAGGAAUGUGGCUCUCUUCGGGGAGUGUUAUAGCCUACGGUGCCAUGCAGCCCAGCCGGACCGAGGACCGCGCCUUCGGGCUAGGAUGCUGGCGUAAUGGUUGUAAGCGACCCGUCUUGAAACACGGACCAAGGAGUCUAACAUCUAUGCGAGUGUUUGGGUGGUAAACCCAUACGCGGAAUGAAAGUGAACGUAGGUGAGAACCGCUUUGGGGCGCAUCAUCGACCGAUCCUGAUGUCUUCGGAUGGAUUUGAGUAAGAGCAUAGCUGUUGGGAACC
rnacentral:rRNA from 1 species